GCCUGUUAUGGUGGCGCACACCUGCAAUCCCAGCUACCUGGAGGCUGAGGCAGGAGGAUCAUCCAUUCUAGGCCAGCAUCUGCAAUUUAAUGAGACCCUGUCUCAA
rnacentral:sRNA from 1 species